GACGAUGCGUGCGAUCACACAUGCGCUAGAAUCCUUAAAAUAUAUUUUUAAUUUUUAUUUAUAGAAAAGAAGGGGUUUUCUAGCACAAGGACGAUGCGUGCGAUCACACAUGUGCUAGACCCCUUAAAACAUAUUUUUGGUAUUUUUAUAAAAGAAGAAGAAAAGGUGUCCAGCACAAGGACGAUGCGUGCGAUCACACAUGCGCUGGACCCUUUGAAAAUAUUUUUUUUAAUUUUUAUUUAUAGAAAAGAAAGGGUUUUCUAGCACAAGGACGAUGUGUGCGAUCACACAUGUGCUAGACCCCUUGAAACAUAUUUUUGGUAUUUUUAUAAAAGAAGAAGAAAAGGUGUCCAGCACAAGGACGAUGCGUGCGAUCACACAUGCGCUGAACCCUUUGAAAAUAUUUUUUUUUAAUUUAAUUUGAUUUUUAUAUAUUUUAUUUAUUAUUUUUUUUUUUAAAAGAAAGUUUGUGUAUAGUAAAAAUGGAGGUGCAACUAAUAAAAUAAGAGCAAACCCAAACAUAAAAAGACAAUAAAAGUGUGGUGUGGGUGUUACAAAGAUAGGUGCAGGAAGUAAAACAUAAACAAAGAAAAGUCCAAUAAACAAUAGGGUGCAGAAAUCGAAACCAGGGUGUGCAACUGGAUCUUUUGCUGACCAAGCCUAAGACCCCUUUUUCGUUUUUAUUUGCAGAAUUGGAUUGGGAGUGCGAAUGGGAAUGCAAGUGGUGGCGGGCAAAAAAGGUUCAGUCCAAACAGAAGGGGUGCAACUGUGAAGAUUAGGGUGCAGGAAACGAAAUGGGCCCAAUGUCCAAAUCCCUUUUUUUUUUACUAUAGAAAUGAAAUGGGGUUGCGCAUAGAGACACGCAAGGUGACAGGCAGAGAGAAAACAGCGCAGAAGCUAGGCCCAAAGCCUUCUCAUUCAUCAGUUUAGGAGGGGUUCUCCCAUUUUUCCCCUCAUUCCAACACUUCGAAGAAAACCAGAAGCCUAGGGCUGUCUCCCUCUCCCUCCGCCGAUGACACUAGCAACCUCCCAAGGCCACCAUCUUCACCACUCGACUUCAUCGCCACGGAUCGCC
rnacentral:lncRNA from 1 species